rnacentral:lncRNA from 12 species
AAAUAACUAACACUACUUCAGUGAUAACAACCUGUUUCUUCCGUUAACUAUGCAAUUGAUCACGAUAUGGAAGAGAAGAUCAAUAUUCUGCAAGUGUAGAAGCCAGAUAUGAAAUUCCUUAAUGGAGAUAAAACACCAGCAUCCACUAAGCGUUUGACUAAAGUCUAGAGAUGGGUGGAGGAGAAGAGACAGGUAUGUGAGUUACUCUACAUGUAUUUCUUUCUAUAAAACUUCUCCUUUUUUUUUCCUUAAGGAAUUAAAUUCCUACUUCGGAAAUCACAUUCUGGCAGAGGGUGUAUUUAUCUUUUGUAGGAACACAAAGUCUAAGAUCAUCGACAAAGUAAUAUUAACAGGAGACAGAGACAUUCCAAGAAGCCAAGUUAAACAUCUUAAAUCAGCAUUAAGGGAAGAUCUCAGCGGGACACCUCCAGCAAAUGUCCUCCAGAGGCACUGUGCCCUGAUGGGAGGUGGUUGCAUGCAGAUGGCAAGGAGGUAUCUCAAGACAAUGGGGCACCGGAAUCCAUCUCCUGAAAACUGCAUGUACAAUCAUGAAGUAGUGGAGACCCUGCCUAUUACUCUGCUGGUACAGGCAGGGAGACAGAGCUGACAAGGAUGCCUAUAGCAAUGUAACAAAAUCCUAUUUUCAGAGAUCAGUAAUGUUUAAACUUCGUAUGUAAUUAUACAACUAUUUAAAUAAUUUUAAAGCCCAUUUGGUGACCGUGAAAUUUCUCAGAUCAAUGAACUUCUAUAAAAACUACAGAAAAGUUCUCCCAGUAAAAUCUUCUCAUCUUGAGUGUUCUUUGACUUUUAUUUGGUUGUUUUUUUGUUUGGUUUUCCGUUUUUAAAAUAACUUUAAGAGCUCUGCUCCUAAAACCCUUUUGCACCUUGUACAUCAACACGUGUCGAUAAAUUCAAUUCAAUUCUUGUUCUCUUAGUUCUUUUCACGGUGAUUUCACAGGAGUUCUAAUUUAGGGCUAUUUGCCAUCAUUACAGUCCAUCAAGAGCACAUCUCUUUUCUGUCAUCUUUCCAUAACCUUCCACUGUCCAUCUCCAACAAGAGUCCAUUGCUUGUUGGAGAUAACAAAGCUCUCUCCUCCCUAAUCAGCUGUUUUUUUAUUCUGCUGCAGCUCGUAAUUUCCACAGCAAUCACUGAAGCCAGAUCCCACGACACUACUCAGUUUGCUUAAAAACUCUCGUCCGCCGUUUACAUGCUAUUUCCCCUACAGUAUGAGCCUGCAGACCCCCAGCAGCAUUCCAGACUGUGGCACCUAUCUCUACCCAGCGUUAAAAAUUGCUUAGUAAAACUGGGCAGCAGCAGCAGAAACGGAACACUCACGCUUUUUGUUCCAAGAGUGAAACCUGUCACUACACGGCUGAGAGAUGUCACCGUGCUAGCUGUGGGCGUUCCCC